ensembl:lncRNA
GAUAACUUGAAUUUCUUCUUAGCUCUGCAUGGCAAAAGGCCUAAAGAGAUUUGUGUCUCCUCCCAGGAACAAACUGGGGACCUUUUGUUUGUUAGGCAAAUGUAUAAACCACUAGACCAUGAGACAAAACAAACCCCAGCUGGAAAUCUAGAGGCAGGAAACACAGCAAAGGCUUGUGGCUCCUUUUGGAAAGAACAAGUUGCUUUUUAACCAGUGCUCACGUGUGAUUUAUAAGGAAAUGGAACGUGAGCUCUGUCUUUCUUGUAAACAUUAAUGUAGGCCAGGUAAAUAAAUCAUAAAUAAAAGGGUGCUCAGAUUUUAGUGUGUUGUGGUUUUGUUACUGAUUAAUUUAAAUUGCAGACUGUUGCAUUCCCCAGUAAAACUUCUGACUUCCUGCAUCCUCUGCAGCCAGUUAUCUCUUUCCUGUCCAGAGAGUACAGAAGAGGAUUGUGCUCACAGUGUGCCACUCUUCCUGCUGCGCCAUUGUUCUAAAGCACGCACACUUAAAUUAUGUCCUAACUUCGAUUUUCUGUUAUUUUCACCUGCGUUUUGAAGAAUCUCUGAGAACUGAUGCAGCGUCUGAAUACUGCGAAAAAUGUCGGCAAGGCGCUGCGUUCCACAUGGAAGUGUUUGAUGCUUGGUCUCUACAGCUUUGCUCUCGGAUACUCCACUCCCAUCACGGUGGCUGCUACUUUUGUCCCUGACUUUCACCCGAGCAGGAACAGGACCUGAUUCGAGCUCUGUCGAUCUCCUCCACUUUGUUUUCAUACUAUAUAUACCAGUAACUCGCAGACUCUUACCAAAGACUUUAAAAAUGUGAAUAAUGAUUGUGCAAUUCAGAUUACAUUUUCAAAUUCCCUGCUUUUGCAGAUCUUACAAGAUCUACUGCAUGGUCAUAUUUGCAGAAAUAUGCAAGAUCAUAAAAUCUUAUUAAGUAUUAGGUUAAAUACUGAAAACACUUGUUUUUAAAUCAAGUGUCUGCAUGUGUUCAAAGGGAUUAUGUGGGCAUGUGGAAACUAUAGCAGGGCAGCAAUAACAGGAAUAUUCACCGUAGCUGCAGGUGAGGUGAGUCAAGCCAGAGACCUCUUUAAGGGAUUUGCAAGCAGGAAAGACUCAACAAGGAGGUGAUUAUCAGUAAUACUGGAAGAGCAAGUAAACAGAAAGGAACCGGCCCAGUCCUUUUCUGGGUGGCACAACUUAGGUGCUUUUUGGUGUACAAAUUCUGCUGUGAAACUAAACUUAACAAACACAAAAUGAAAUAAGACUGAAACCAAAAAUGAAAACUAACAAAAUAAAUAUUUUUUUUACUUUCAAAACUAGUAGUAAUAGUUUUAAUAGUUAAAAUCUUUUUUGCAAAUUUGAGAACACAAGUAUGAGGAGGUUUUUCAUUUUGGGUGUUUUGGUGGGUGGUGGGCGGCUACAUGACUUUUACGGUCAAAAGCCUUUACAAAAACAGAAAGCUAACUAAAUAAGAUACAAUUUUAAAAAAACAACAACAAAUUAAAUAAACUAAUAUAAAUUAAAAAACAAAAAUAGAACUUUGCUGUAAAUACUAUAAUGUGACGCCCAAGAUUUGAAGAAUUCUCUGCUUGGAACAAAAUAUUCUGACUUUUAAGAUAUUUUUAAAGAUGUGUGUAGAUUUGAUCAUUUGUAAAUUAUUAAUUAUUCAUGAUGUUUGUACUUUUGAUUAAAAUAAAGCAUUACUAGGAAUGCAUCUGAA